rnacentral:tRNA from 1 species
GUGGUUGUGGUUCAGUGGUAGAGUACCUGCUUAGCAUGCACGAGGUCCUAGGUUCAAUCCCCAGUACCCCCA